ACCUGACAGACCUAUCGGAGGUCUGACACUUGCCACGACAGGAGCACAAAAUG
rnacentral:ncRNA from 1 species